GAUGAAGAACGUAGCGAAAUGCGAUAAGUAGUGUGAAUUGCAGACUUUAGUGAAUCAUCGAAUCUUUGAACGCACAUUGCGCCCCUUGGUAUUCCGAGGGGCAUGCCUGUUCGAGCGUCAUUAUAACCCUCAAGCUCAGCUUGGUGUUGGGGCCUGCUGCACUGGCAGCCCUUAAAAUCAGUGGCGGCGCCAUCUGGCUCUAAGCGUAGUAAUUCUUCUCGCUAUGGAGUCCUGGUGGACGCUUGCCAUCAACCCCCAAUUUUUCUAUGGUUGACCUCGGAUCAGGUAGGGAUACCCGCUGAACUUAAGCAUAUCAAUAAGCGGAGGA
rnacentral:misc_RNA from 1 species